UUCCGGUUGAUCCUGCCGGAGGCUACUGCUAUUGGAAUUCGACUAAGCCAUGCGAGUCAAGGUGUCUUCGGACGCCGGCAAACGGCUCAGUAACACGUAGGUAAUCUACCCUCAGGACUGAGAUAACCCCGGGAAACUGGGGCUAAUACCAGAUAGAUAAAAGAUACUGGAAUGUUCUUUUAUCCAAAGCUUUUGUGCCUGAGGAUGAGCCUGCGCCCGAUUAGGUAGUUGGUGGGGUAAUGGCCCACCAAGCCUGCGAUCGGUACGGGCAGUGGGAGCUGUAGCCCGGAGUUGGGGACUGAGACAAGGCCCCAGGCCCUACGGGGCGCAGCAGGCGCGAAACCUCUGCAAUGCGGGAAACCGUGACAGGGGGAUUCCAAGUGCUCAUGCAUUGCAUGGGCUGUUCUUUGGUCUAAGUAACCAGAGGAGUAAGGGCUGGGCAAGACCGGUGCCAGCCGCCGCGGUAAUACCGGCAGCUCGAGUGGUAGCCGCGAUUAUUGGGCCUAAAACGUUCGUAGCCGGAUAAGUAAGUCUUUGGUUAAAUCCUACGACUUAACCGUGGGAAAUCUAGAGAUACUGCUUGUCUUGAGACCGGGAGAGGUUGGAGGUACUCCCAGGGUAGGGGUGAAAUCCUGUAAUCCUGGGGGGACCACCUGUGGCGAAGGCGUCCAACUGGAACGGCUCUGACGGUGAGGGACGAAACCUAGGGGAGCGAGCCGGAUUAGAUACCCGGGUAGUCCUAGGCGUAAAUGAUGCGAGUUAAGUGUGGGGGCAUCUACGAGAUGGCCCUGUGCUGUAGGGUAGCCGUUAAACUCGCUGCCUGGGGAGUACGGUCGCAAGGCUGAAACUUAAAGGAAUUGGCGGGGGAGCACCACAAGAGGUGGAGGCUGCGGUUCAAUUGGAGUCAACGCCGG
rnacentral:rRNA from 1 species